GAUCAUGGCACAGGACGAAACGCUGGCGGCGCGCCUAACACAUGCAAGUCGAACGAGCGAGAGAGAGCUUGCUUUCUCAAGCGAGUGGCGAACGGGUGAGUAACGCGUGAGGAACCUGCCUCAAAGAGGGGGACAACAGUUGGAAACGACUGCUAAAUACCGCAUAAGCCCACAGGUCGGCAUCGACCAGAGGGAAAAGGAGCAAUCCGCUUUGAGAUGGCCUCGCGUCCGAUUAG
rnacentral:rRNA from 1 species